CAAUAGCGUAUAUUAAAGUUGUUGCAGUUAAAAAGCUCGUAGUUGGAUUUCUGAUCGAGACAUCAGGUCGGGUCCGAGAGGAUCAUGUACUUUGAUUUUGUUUUGAUCAUCCUUGGGGAGAGCAUUUCUGGCAUUCAGUUGUCGGGAUUGGGAUCCUCAUCGUUUACUGUGAAAAAAUUAGAGUGUUCAAAGCAGGCCUCGGCCUCUGAAUACAUUAGCAUGGAAUAAUAAGAUAGGACUUUGGUGGUCUAUUUUGUUGGUUUGCACGCUAAAGUAAUGAUUAAUAGGGAUAGUUGGGGGUAUUCGUAUUCAAUUGUCAGAGGUGAAAUUCUUGGAUUUAUGGAAGACGAACUACUGCGAAAGCAUUUACCAAGGAUGUUUUCAUUAA
rnacentral:rRNA from 1 species